rnacentral:rRNA from 1 species
GACGAACGCUGGCGGCGUGCCUAAUACAUGCAAGUCGAGCGAAGUUUUUCUGGUGCUUGCACCGGAAAAACUUAGCGGCGAACGGGUGAGUAACACGUAAAGAACCUGCCUCAUAGACUGGGACAACUAUUGGAAACGAUAGCUAAUACCGGAUAACAGCAUUAACUGCAUGGUUGAUGUUUAAAAGUUGGUUUUGCUAACACUAUGAGAUGGCUUUGCGGUGCAUUAGCUAAUUGGUGGGGUAAAGGCCUACCAAGGCGACGAUGCAUAGCCGACCUGAGAGGGUGAUCGGCCACACUGGGACUGAGACACGGCCCAGACUCCUACGGGAGGCAGCAGUAGGGAAUCUUCCGCAAUGGGCGAAAGCCUGACGGAGCAACGCCGCGUGAGUGAAGAAGGAUUUCGGUUCGUAAAGCUCUGUUGUUAGGGAAGAAUGAUUGUGUAGUAACUAUACACAGAGAGACGGCACCUAACCAGAAAGCC